CGUAGCUUAACUGAAUAGAGCAUCUGACUUCGGAUCAGAAGGUUGUGGGUUUGAAUCCCGCCGGG
rnacentral:tRNA from 1 species